CGGCCGGAAUAGCCCGAAUUUCUUCGGAAAUGUUGUCUUCCAAAGCUGGAAUAGUUGCUGGCUUAUUUCUGUAGACUUUAGACUUGACGUAGCCCCACAAAAAAUAGUCUAAAGGCGUUAAAUCGCAUGAUCUUGGUGGCCAACUUACGGGUCCAUUUCUUGAGAUGAAUUGUUCUCCGAAGUUUUCCCUCAAAAUGGCCAUAGAAUCGCGAGCUGUGUGGCAUGUAGCGCCAUCUUGUUGAAACCACAUGAGUCAACAUUUAAAUGAAAUUAUCUUCAAAAAUAAAUGUCAUGAACCAAUCUAACGUUUCAAAUAAAGAACCGAUGAGAUUUUGCAAAUUUUAUGCGUUUUUUUUUUUAAAAAAGUUAUCAAGCUCUUAAAAAUCACCCGAUAUAAGAGUGUACAACUGCUGGCGUAUGCCGACGAUAUUGAUAUCAUCGGCCUCAACACCCGCGCCGUUAGUUCUGCUUUCUCUAGGCUGGACAAGGAAGCACAGAAAAUGGGUCUGGUAGUGAACGAGGGCAAAACGAAAUAUCUCCUGUCAUCAAACAAACAGUCGUCGCACUCGCGACUUGGCUCUCACGUCACUGUUGACAGUCAUAACUUUGAAGUUGUAGAUAAUUUCGUCUAUUUAGGAACUAGCAUUAACACCACUAAUAAUGUCAGCCUGGAAAUCCAACGCAGGAUUGCUCUUGCCAACAGGUGCUACUUCGGACUGAGUAGGCAAUUGAAAAGUAAAGUCCUCUCUCGACGAACAAAAACCAAACUCUAUAAGUCGCUCAUAAUUCCCGUCCUGCUAUAUGGUGCAGAGGCUUGGACGAUUACGUGUUUUCGAGAGAAAAAUUCUGCGAAAGAUUUAUGGUCCUUUGCGCAUUGACCACGGCGUAUAUCGCAUCCGAUGGAACGAUGAGCUGUACGAGAUAGACGACAUUGACAUAGUUCAGCGAAUUAAAAGGCAGCGGCUACGCUGGCUAGGUCAUGUUGUCCGGAUGGAUGAAAACACUCCAGCUCUGAAAGUAUUCGACGCAGUACCCGCCGGGGGAAGCAGAGGAAGAGGAAGACCUCCACUCCGUUGGAAGGACCAAGUGGAGAAGGACCUGGCUUCGCUUGGAAUAUCCAAUUGGCGCCACGCAGCGAAAAGAAGAAACGACUGGCGCGCUGUUGUUAACUCGGCUAUAAUCGCGUAAGCGGUGUCUACGCCAAUUAAGAAGAAGAAGAAAUGUUGUCCUAAGUAGUAUGUACAGACCUUACAUAAAGUCAACAUAGAUUUUCAAACAUAAUUCUUGGGACAUAUAACAAACAUGGCAGGAUUACGAUUACAAUAUAUGUAGAAAAAUUAUAUUUAUAUAGUAAUAAACAGAUACACAUAAAACCGCUA